GGGGGGUGCAAGCGUUAAUCGGAAUUACUGGGCGUAAAGCGCACGCAGGCGGUUUGUUAAGUCAGAUGUGAAAUCCCCGGGCUCAACCUGGGAACUGCAUCUGAUACUGGCAAGCUUGAGUCUCGUAGAGGGGGGUAGAAUUCCAGGUGUAGCGGUGAAAUGCGUAGAGAUCUGGAGGAAUACCGGUGGCGAAGGCGGCCCCCUGGACGAAGACUGACGCUCAGGUGCGAAAGCGUGGGGAGCAAACAGGGAUUAGAUACCCUGGUAGUCCACGCCGUAAACGAUGUCGACUUGGAGGUUGUGCCCCUUGAGGCGUGGCUCCGGAGCUAACGCGUUAAGUCGACCGCCUGGGGGAGUACGGCCGCAAGGUUA
rnacentral:rRNA from 1 species